UGCGGCGGGGCUAGCGGGGCCUGCGGCUACUUCCGGCUUCCGUUGUGCGGGCAGGGGCGGGGCUUGGCAUUCUCAGGGCGGCCCUCUGCCCCGGCGUCUCGGUGGUCCAAGAGUAGGAUGAUCCGCGCCAGCCAUGUGAUAGUCCGUUCUCGGCACAGCUCCACUUAUUCCGGUCACCGGGCGGGGAAGAUUUAGGGGGAAACCCUUCAGAAAUCCGGGUGACUCAUCUGUAAGUCCGCGCCGCGUGGGCUAAGAAUGGAGGCUCUGCAGAGGGAGUCUGCAGUCAGCCUGUUUCCCCAGCUGCGGGCAGCGCUAGACAUUGCACCCCUAGUAUAAAAAGAGGAUUGCCUCCUUGUGUCUCCAAAUAAGGAAACUGGGCUCUCAGUCCCCGAAGCCAUAAGAACUGACUCCAGCAGCCAUCUGAGAGAGACAGCACACAGGACAUAGGACUAUGUGACUUGCAAGUGGAUCAGCAGUGCACAGAGAGCCGUGAGCAUGCGAAGUGUGGGACUCUGGACACGCCAAGCAACAGUGUGUAAGGAAAGCACAGACUCACCUUCCAACUUAAAUCUGAUUCAAGCAGUGAACACGCUAUCCGAGACAGAGACUCAUAUGUAACUGAGAAUUCUCUUGAACUCCCGACCCCGGAAAGUGCCUGUCGUGGCACUGUUCAGCUCCAACAAACCUGCUGAGUACAGAACGGUGUUCAUUCAACAAAUAUGUAUUGAACACUUAGCUGGGCUGCUCAAGGACCUGUGGGCCUAGUGAUGACAAUUAAAAAAAAGACGAAACCUGUGUCCUUACACUGGUGACAUACUGAUGCCAACGAAAACAAGAAAGAAAGAAAGAAAGAAAGAAAGAAAGAAAGAAAGAAAGGAAGGAAGGAAGGAAGGAAGGAAGGAAGGAAGGAAGGAAGGAAGGUGAAUUUUAGAAUACUUUUUAGCCUAUGAUCCCAACGUUUGGAAGGCAGGGGUAGAUGGAUCUCUGUGAGCUUGAGGCUACCCUGCUUUAUUCAGUGAGCUCGAGGCCAGCCAGAGCUUCGUGGAGAGAGCCAGAUUAAGAAGCAGACCUAGGUCUUGUCUGGAAUAUGCGAAGCCUUGGGUUCAGUCCCCAGUACAACACAUACAUGCUAAAUAAAAACUAAAAAAAAUUAAAGGACAGGCAUGACGGGGCGCACCUUGAAUUCCAGCACUCUGAAAAAAAAA